CUCGAAAAUAGGUUGAUUGUGAAGUGCAAUUUCCUGAUGAUGUUACAAUCAGACCUUGAAGAAGAAAGAAGAUUUUUGACUACGAACAUGAAGAUGAGUUUCUUGCAGACCCUACACAAAGUGUUAAAGUGAAUAUUUUCAUUGCAGUUUUGGACACAUCCUUACAACUUAUAAAUGAGAAAUUCAAGUUACUUUAGAGCCAU